rnacentral:rRNA from 1 species
UACAGAGGUGGCAAACGUUGUCCGGAUUUAUUGGGUGUCAGGGGCAUGUCGGUGGUUCUAUCAGUCAAAGGUGACAUGGCCCGGCUCAACCAGGUCAUUGCCUUUGAAACUGCAGAACUUGAGUACGGAAGAGGAAAGCGGAAUUCCCAGUGUAGCGGUGAAAUGCGUAGAUAUUGGGAGGAACACCGGUGGCGAAGGCGGCUUUCUGGUCCGAAACUGACACUGAGAUGCGAAAGCCAGGGGAGCAAACGGG